GUUUGAUCCUGGCUCAGGAUGAACGCUAGCGGGAGGCUUAACACAUGCAAGUCGAGGGGCAUCACGAGGUAGCAAUACUUUGGUGGCGACCGGCGCACGGGUGAGUAACACGUAUGCAACCUACCCUGUACAGGGGGAUAACCCGGAGAAAUUCGGACUAAUAUCCCAUGCAAUUAUUGGAGGGCAUCCUUUGAUAAUUAAAGCUCAGGCGGUAUAGGAUGGGCAUGCGGAACAUUAGCUAGUUGGUAGGGUAACGGCCUACCAAGGCUACGAUGUUUAGGGGACCUGAGAGGGUUAUCCCCCACACUGGUACUGAGACACGGACCAGACUCCUACGGGAGGCAGCAGUGAGGAAUAUUGGUCAAUGGGCGCAAGCCUGAACCAGCCAUCCCGCGUGAAGGAAGAAGGCCCUAUGGGUUGUAAACUUCUUUUCCAGGGGGUGAAUAAUUCCGAUGUAUCGGGAGAUGACGGUACCCUGGGAAUAAGCAUCGGCUAACUCCGUGCCAGCAGCCGCGGUAAUACGGAGGAUGCGAGCGUUAUCCGGAUUUAUUGGGUUUAAAGGGUGCGUAGGCGGAACAAUAAGUCAGUGGUGAAAGACUGCAGCUUAACUGUAGACUUGCCGUUGAUACUGUUGAUCUUGAGUAUGGUCAAGGCAGGCGGAAUGUGUA
rnacentral:rRNA from 1 species